ACUAGCAGCCACCUCACCCUGCAACUCACAACUGGCAACCACUGAAACUAUGCAUGGCUGAGCCUGGUCAGUACCUGGAUGGGAGACCUCCUGGGAAACAUGAGGUUGCUGCUGGAA
rnacentral:rRNA from 1 species